rnacentral:rRNA from 1 species
GAUGAACGCUGGCGGCGUGCUUAACACAUGCAAGUCGAACGAACCUUCGGGUUAGUGGCGGACGGGUGAGUAACGCGUGGGAAUCUGCCCUCAGGAGGGGGAUAACGGCCGGAAACGGCCGCUAAUACCCCAUAUGCCGAGAGGUGAAAUGAACUUCGCCUGAGGAUGAGCCCGCGUCUGAUUAGCUAGUUGGUGGGGUAAUGGCCCACCAAGGCGACGAUCAGUAGCUGGUCUGAGAGGAUGAUCAGCCACACUGGGACUGAGACACGGCCCAGACUCCUACGGGAGGCAGCAGUGGGGAAUUUUCCGCAAUGGGCGAAAGCCUGACGGAGCAACGCCGCGUGAGGGAUGAAGGCCUCUGGGCUGUAAACCUCUUUUCUCAAGGAAGAAGACAUGACGGUACUUGAGGAAUAAGCCACGGCUAAUUCCGUGCCAGCAGCCGCGGUAAUACGGGAGUGGCAAGCGUUAUCCGGAAUUAUUGGGCGUAAAGCGUCCGCAGGCGGCCUUGUAAGUCUGUCGUUAAAGCGUGGAGCUUAACUCCAUUUAAGCGAUGGAAACUACAAGGCUUGAGUGUGGUAGGGGCAGAGGGAAUUCCCGGUGUAGCGGUGAAAUGCGUAGAUAUCGGGAAGAACACCAGUGGCGAAGGCGCUCUGCUGGGCCAUAACUGACGCUCAUGGACGAAAGCCAGGGGAGCGAAAGGGAUUAGAUACCCCUGUAGUCCUGGCCGUAAACGAUGAACACUAGGUGUCGGGGGAAUCGACCCCCUCGGUGUCGUAGCUAACGCGUUAAGUGUUCCGCCUGGGGAGUACGCACGCAAGUGUGAAACUCAAAGGAAUUGACGGGGGCCCGCACAAGCGGUGGAGUAUGUGGUUUAAUUCGAUGCAACGCGAAGAACCUUACCAGGGUUUGACAUCCUGCGAAUCCCUUGGAAACGAGGGAGUGCCUUCGGGAGCGCAGAGACAGGUGGUGCAUGGCUGUCGUCAGCUCGUGUCGUGAGAUGUUGGGUUAAGUCCCGCAACGAGCGCAACCCACGUCUUUAGUUGCCAGCAUUCAGUUGGGCACUCUAGAGAGACCGCCGGUGAUAAACCGGAGGAAGGUGUGGAUGACGUCAAGUCAUCAUGCCCCUUACAUCCUGGGCUACACACGUACUACAAUGCUACGGACAAAGGGUUGCAAGCUCGCGAGAGUUAGCUAAUCCCAUAAACCGUGGCUCAGUUCAGAUCGUAGGCUGCAACUCGCCUACGUGAAGGAGGAAUCGCUAGUAAUCGCAGGUCAGCAUACUGCGGUGAAUACGUUCCCGGGCCUUGUACACACCGCCCGUCACACCAUGGAAGUUGGCCAUGCCCGAAGUCGUUACUCCAACCCUUGUGGAGGAGGACGCCGAAGGUGGGGCUGAUGACUGGGGUGAAGUCGUAACAAGGUAGCCGUACCGGAAGGUGCGGCUGGAUCACCUCCUAA